UUAAAUUGAAGAGUUUGAUCAUGGCUCAGAUUGAACGCUGGCGGCAGGCCUAACACAUGCAAGUCGAACGGUAACAGGAAGAAGCUUGCUUCUUUGCUGACGAGUGGCGGACGGGUGAGUAAUGUCUGGGAAACUGCCUGAUGGAGGGGGAUAACUACUGGAAACGGUAGCUAAUACCGCAUAACGUCGCAAGACCAAAGAGGGGGACCUUCGGGCCUCUUGCCAUCGGAUGUGCCCAGAUGGGAUUAGCUUGUUGGUGGGGUAACGGCUCACCAAGGCGACGAUCCCUAGCUGGUCUGAGAGGAUGACCAGCCACACUGGAACUGAGACACGGUCCAGACUCCUACGGGAGGCAGCAGUGGGGAAUAUUGCACAAUGGGCGCAAGCCUGAUGCAGCCAUGCCGCGUGUAUGAAGAAGGCCUUCGGGUUGUAAAGUACUUUCAGCGGGGAGGAAGGGAGUAAAGUUAAUACCUUUACUCAUUGACGUUACCCGCAGAAGAAGCACCGGCUAACUCCGUGCCAGCAGCCGCGGUAAUACGGAGGGUGCAAGCGUUAAUCGGAAUUACUGGGCGUAAAGCGCACGCAGGCGGUUUGUUAAGUCAGAUGUGAAAUCCCCGGGCUCAACCUGGGAACUGCAUCUGAUACUGGCAAGCUUGAGUCUCGUAGAGGGGGGUAGAAUUCCAGGUGUAGCGGUGAAAUGCGUAGAGAUCUGGAGGAAUACCGGUGGCGAAGGCGGCCCCCUGGACGAAGACUGACGCUCAGGUGCGAAAGCGUGGGGAGCAAACAGGAUUAGAUACCCUGGUAGUCCACGCCGUAAACGAUGUCGACUUGGAGGUUGUGCCCUUGAGGCGUGGCUUCCGGAGCUAACGCGUUAAGUCGACCGCCUGGGGAGUACGGCCGCAAGGUUAAAACUCAAAUGAAUUGACGGGGGCCCGCACAAGCGGUGGAGCAUGUGGUUUAAUUCGAUGCAACGCGAAGAACCUUACCUGGUCUUGACAUCCACAGAACCUUGUAGAGAUACGAGGGUGCCUUCGGGAACUGUGAGACAGGUGCUGCAUGGCUGUCGUCAGCUCGUGUUGUGAAAUGUUGGGUUAAGUCCCGCAACGAGCGCAACCCUUAUCCUUUGUUGCCAGCGGUCCGGCCGGGAACUCAAAGGAGACUGCCAGUGAUAAACUGGAGGAAGGUGGGGAUGACGUCAAGUCAUCAUGGCCCUUACGACCAGGGCUACACACGUGCUACAAUGGCGCAUACAAAGAGAAGCGACCUCGCGAGAGCAAGCGGACCUCAUAAAGUGCGUCGUAGUCCGGAUUGGAGUCUGCAACUCGACUCCAUGAAGUCGGAAUCGCUAGUAAUCGUGGAUCAGAAUGCCACGGUGAAUACGUUCCCGGGCCUUGUACACACCGCCCGUCACACCAUGGGAGUGGGUUGCAAAAGAAGUAGGUAGCUUAACCUUCGGGAGGGCGCUUACCACUUUGUGAUUCAUGACUGGGGUGAAGUCGUAACAAGGUAACCGUAGGGGAACCUGCGGUUGGAUCACCUCCUUACCUUAAAGAAGC
rnacentral:rRNA from 1 species